rnacentral:rRNA from 1 species
GACGAACGCUGGCGGCGUGCUUAACACAUGCAAGUCGAACGGAAAGGCCCUGCUUUUGUGGGGUGCUCGAGUGGCGAACGGGUGAGUAACCCGUGAGUAACCUGCCCUUGACUUUGGGAUAACUUCAGGAAACUGGGGCUAAUACCGGAUAGGAGCUCCUGCUGCAUGGUGGGGGUUGGAAAGUUUCGGCGGUUGGGGAUGGACUCGCGGCUUAUCAGCUUGUUGGUGGGGUAGUGGUUUACCAAGGCUGUGACGGGUAGCCGGCCUGUGAGGGUGACCGGCCACAUUGGGACUGAGAUACGGCGCAGACUCCUACGGGAGGCAGCAGUGGGGAAUAUUGCACAAUGGGCGGAAGCCUGAUGCAGAAACGCCGCGUGCGGGAUGACGGCCUUCGGGUUGUAAACCGCUUUCGCCUGUGACGAAGCGUGAGUGACGGUAAUGGGUAAAGAAGCACCGGCUAACUACGUG